rnacentral:lncRNA from 1 species
UUUGGGCGUCUUAUGAAAGGUUGAGUAGUAGUCUCGCUGAGGUGACAGCAUCACUCCCUUAAGAGAAGAUGGUGAGCCAUAACCUGUGCCAGGAAAAGGAAAACAAGAAACAUAAAAACCUUUUGCAUCUCCAAAAAACAGACUAAAACAAAUAAAAAAUGACACACAAGUCAGAAAGAUCAUAGUCCUACAAGCUUAUAACGAGUCAAUAUGUAUACCUCUGGUGGGAGAGACGCUCAAGUGGGUUGCCCUCUUUGGGCUACCCCAGGAAGUCCUUUCAUAAGCUUUCCCAGCAGACCUGCUAAGAAAUUCAGCACUUUUGCGACCUCUGGAAGUCUGUUUAGCCUGUCGCAACUACCUGAAAAAUCAGAUAACAAUUAGCAGCAAGCAAUAUAAGAAAGAUGAUUAAGGUACUUCCAAUGAUGCUUGCA